GUGUUGUAUGAAAGGAGAGAAGGUUAACACCCCUUGAUUUUGAGGAAGAAGACCAGGAGGCCUCAUCAGGAAAAGGACAAAGAGGACCACGAGGUCUGUUUAAGGGCGUACUCAUCGUGAACGCUCCUCGUGGAUGGGUCACUUGAUCAU
rnacentral:ncRNA from 1 species